rnacentral:lncRNA from 1 species
UUCAUACUACAUUUUAUAAAUUAUAAAGAUUGAUACAAAUAUCACAUAUUUAGCUUACUAGCAUGGAUCAGACCAAUAUUCGAAUAUAAUCCAUCGAGGAGUAUGAUUCGAGAAAAAAUGAAAUACUUGAACCCUAAUAUGAGCAAACAUUGGUAUUCUCGAAUUCGACUCGUGUAUCAUUAAACAAAAAAUGAAUAUGAAUCAGAUUCGGCUCAGAUCAACUUAAAAUCCAAAUUUUAAAUUAUAUUUUCGAGUCGAUCUCAAAUCGAAUAAUAAACUACUUGAUUGGACUUACACCCCUAACUACUACUACGUACUACUACUAAUUAGCAGUACAAUAUAACGUAGACAUCUCGACUGACACACAUUUCUCUACAUAUCCCAAUAAAUCAAUUUAGUGAAGGCGAGUCGGAGUUUAAUUCACUUUCAGAUAUAUUAAUUAAAAGGAGAAUGAUGAUAAUAAUGAUGAUAUAUAUAUAUAUAUAUAUAUAUAUAUAUAUAUAUAUAUAUAUAUAUAUAUAUAUGAUUAAUUAAGCCACAUACUAGAGCAUGCAUGCAUGCAUGCACCUUGCGCUUAAUUAAUUGAGCAGUGUAUUAUUAUUAUAUAAACCCAAUUAUAAAUGAUCCUUAAUUAAUUAGGAGUAUAUACAUGCAAUAUAUGAAAUUAAUUAGUCAGUUUAAAAUUCAGAUUUUAUAUAUGAACUUGUCUUCUAUGGAAAUUUGUUGAAUUUAUUUAUAUAUGCAACUCUUUAUAUAUUUACAUAUGAUAAUUUGCGUGUCAACUUGUCGUGUAGAGUACUAAUUUGAUUUGUUUAUUUCUUACUCUUAAACAUCACUUUCUUCUUAUGGGCGGAACAUCAAAUAGUUACACCGAUUGAUGUAAAGUUGGGUCAUAACUCGCUCCCUCGAAUCUCUGAGUCUCUCUCUCCAAAAUCUCUCUCUCUCUCUCUCUCUCUCUCUCUCAUUCACUCUGAAUCUAAAAUAUUUUUCAGGUUCAUUUCUUAAUAUAUGAGGAAUAUAUAUUCCUCAUUCCGGUGCUGAAAUGCUGAAAAUAAUUCUCAAGGAAUUUUUAUGAGCCAAACUGAAUAUAUAGUCGAACGUGUGUAUGUGUGUGUAUAUAUAUAUAUAUAUANNNNNNNNNNNNNNNNNNNNNNNNNNNNNNNNNNNNNNNNNNNNNNNNNNNNNNNNNNNNNNNNNNNNNNNNNNNNNNNNNNNNNNNNNNNNNNNNNNNNGAUUCAGAAAGGGUUUUGUCUAGACUCCUGACCAAAUAAAGUUAUCAAUAAAGUAACUUAGGCAUUUUUUUGUUACAAAGAUGAUAGCCAGACACUUUUGCCUACAACUCCCGAGGACAAAUAAGGAACCUCCAUUGCACAUAUAGGACUAAAGCUCUGAGAUAGGCUGUCACUGGGGGGUUGGACAACCUCACUAAUCAUCAAAACUUGGAUAAUUAAUUAAACACCAGACACUAAUCCUAUAUUUGAAUUGAAGUAAUGAAAAUGAAAAUAAAAUGACUCAUUUCUAUGUAAUUAAGAAAACUGUGUUUAGUUGCAAUUAGAAUAGAUUGAACUAUUUUUAUUCCUCUCAAAUUAUGAAUUUUAUUCCUUAAAGAAAAAAAAGUAUAGAAUGACUCAUUUCAACUAAAAUGAAAUAAAUCAUUUAACUCUUCAUUUCAUUCCUUUAAUUCAAAUGUAGCAUAUGAGCACUGAGGUCAUGCAUGCCUAUAUGUUAAUUAUUAACAGUGCACGUCUAUUACAUGGUAAGAAAGCUAAUUAGUGUCCUUAUUGUAGAUCAAUGGCAUCAUAAACAAAAAAUGACCUUCUCAUACAAUAAUCAGCUUAAUUAGGGCAUACAUAUAUACACACAUGACUUGCACACAAACAUAUAUAUAUAUAUAUAUAUAUAUAUAUAUAUAUAUAUAUAUAUAUAUACACAAUGUAGACGAGCCUAACUAAAUCACCAGGCACAUUGAUUGCAAAUGUACAAGGAUGCUUUCUCACAAAUUAAAUUUCUACAUACUUGUUCAACUUUGUAUUUUUGUCAUCAUAACUAGCUUUAAUUUCCGAGUAAUAAAUUAUUUAAUGAACGAUACUAAAAGUUAAUGGCCUCUAUCCAUCAGAAAUAGGUAAAACUCAAUUUUAUACACAGGUUUCCGUAUUUUAUAUGCCAGAAUUACAAAUCUAGGUACGCAGAUAGCAAGGAGGAUAUUCUUGUGUUCGUGGUUUUAGUUGGUCAAUUACAAAAUGGCUGAAAUUAGCAUGUGUGUAUAAAUAAAUCUCUUAUACAGUUAUACCUUACCAAGGCAUUCCCAGAAAAUAUCAUUCUCUAUAUAUAUCAAACAACAAAUCAUAAUUUUACACGCGCGGACACACUCACGCAGUCAUAUAUAUAUAAAUAUAUAUAGAAUUAAUGAGAUAAGGACGACUUUUUGGGUGGCUAUACAUAUAGUUGUUCGAGCCAUUAUUACUAUCUAUAGGUAGUUCAUGGUUAGUCCUACACUGUAUAUAUUUACAUUUAUGUUAAUGAAGGUAAGCUUUUGUGAAUUCGAAAGCACACACACACACAUAUAUAUAUAUAUAUAUAUAUAUAUAUAUAUAUAUAUAUAGUUUUUCAUUUUGGACCAAGGAUCAUCAAAUUAAUAAUAGAUCUAGAAGAUGAUAUCAAAAAAAUUAUCAAAGGAAAAAGUUUAUAAGCCAAGUAGAUCGAAAGAGAACGUACAAACUUGAAGCUAAGCUAGCAUACCUGAUCAGAUCAUGAUAUUAUUGUUAUAUUCUUAAUGAGAUCAACUUCUUGAAGAACCUCCAGAUAUGUAUCGAAUCAGUAUAUAUAUAUAUAUAUAUAUAUAUAUGACUGCAAAAAAGGUUAUUUUUUAAAAGGAGAAAACUAAAGACCUUAAUUUUAUGAGCUAGUGAUCUGAUCUUACAACAAUCUAUAUGUAAAAAAAAAGAUUAGAUCCAUUAAAUUUGAAGGUGUACAAUUAUAAUGUCCAAACAAACAAAUCAAGACAACCAAAGAAAGCCAGAAGUAGAGAGAUCUACAUACAUAUAUAGAGAGAGAUAGAGACAAGCUAGCUAUUACGUAGACAUGGGAAACAUAUAUGCUAAUUUGAUGUCUUUUUUUGUUUGUCAUCUUCAAUCAGAGAUCAAAAAAAAAAAGAAAAGGUAACUCCCAUAAAAUCAUGAACCUUUUAUGAAACAAGACCCAGGUAGUAUAUUACCUUACUUUAAGGAUAUAUAUAUAUAUAUAUAUGAAGAAAAAGGAGAGAAACAAGGAAAUACAGUACUAGAACCUAUAAUUAUUAUUUAGGGCAAAACUAAAGAGCAAGCACCGCAAUAAAAACCAAAGCCAAAAUAGAAGUAGGUUGAUCUACAAAACUAAAUUAUAGUACAAGGAUCGGACCAAUAUGCUUGAUUCCCCGAAACAGUCUUCACUUUGUUUUCAAGUCUCCUUCGUGAAAAGAUCUAGAGAAAGCUAGGAGAGAGAGAGAGUGUCUUCUUAUCUCUUGAUCGAUCAUGACAUAUAUAGCCGCUAUAUAUUUUCUCUUUCUUUUUCUUUCUCAUCUUCUUCUUGUUUGAGAAUGAUGAUGGCUUGAGGUGGUGGAAAUAAUGAUGGAAGUGAAGAAAAUAAUAAGGUGGUGGUGGUGAAGGUGGUGAUGAUGAUGAUGGUUUGGCAGACAUGAUGCAGGUGAUGAUUACCCUGAGCUUCUGGCGUUGAAACUAAUGAGAUUAUUAGAUAGAGAAAGAAAAAAAAGAAUUAAUUUAGAAGCAACACUACUCUCUCUCUCUCUUUCUUUUUCUCUCUCUGAUCAGAGGAGGAUUAUACAGUUUAUACUCAUCAGAUAUAUUAGAGAGAGAGUGAGUGGAAAGAAUUAUUCCUACUCCAAGAUAUAUAGUCGUCCUUUUAACCUACAAUAGACCCCUCAAACACACGUUUAGUAUUUUUUUUGAAGUUUAUUUUAAAAUUUAAGAUAUAUUUUUAUUGUUAUUUUUAAUAUUAUAUUAUUA